UGGGGAAUAUUGCACAAUGGGCGCAAGCCUGAUGCAGCCAUGCCGCGUGUAUGAAGAAGGCCUUCGGGUUGUAAAGUACUUUCAGCGAGGAGGAAGGCAUUAAGGUUAAUAACCUUAGUGAUUGACGUUACUCGCAGAAGAAGCACCGGCUAACUCCGUG
rnacentral:rRNA from 2 species